UACGUAGGGUGCAAGCGUUGUCCGGAAUUAUUGGGCGUAAAGAGCUCGUAGGCGGUCUGUCGCGUCGGCUGUGAAAUCCCGAGGCUCAACCUCGGGUCUGCAGUCGAUACGGGCAAACUGGAGUGUUGCAGGGGAGACUGGAAUUCCUGGUGUAGCGGUGAAAUGCGCAGAUAUCAGGAGGAACACCGGUGGCGAAGGCGGCGAUCUGGGAAGAUACUGACGCUGAGGUGCGAAAGCGUGGGGAGCAAACAGG
rnacentral:rRNA from 1 species